rnacentral:rRNA from 1 species
UACAGGGGGUGCAAACGUUGCUCGGAAUCAUUGGGCGUAAAGCGCACGUAGGCGGUUCGUUAUGUCGGAUGUGAAAGCCCUUGGCUUAACCGAGGAAGUGCAUCCGAAACUGGCGAGCUAGAGUACUAAAGAGGAUCGCGGAAUUCCCGGUGUAGAGGUGAAAUUCGUAGAUAUCGGGAGGAACACCGGUGGCGAAGGCGGCGAUCUGGGUAGAUACUGGCGCUGAGGUGCGAAAGCGUGGGGAGCAAACAGG